GUGAAUCAUCAAAUUUUUGAACGCAACCUGCACUCUCUUCGGAUAGUAGACCUGUUUCAGUGUCAGCCUAAAAAAAAUCAACAUAGUCGCUGUUUCUCGGUGUCUUUCGUCGGAAAUUGGGUCAUCUUCAACCUUUGGGUUUUAAGGGGCUUAAAAUUUUCUUUACGAUUAUACGAACGUUUCUAAGAUUUACUUCCACGUUAAAGGUAUAAAUUUUUAUUAGACGUGGCCUUUGCUUUGGAUCACGUCCAUAAAUAU
rnacentral:misc_RNA from 1 species